rnacentral:lncRNA from 1 species
CCCCUUAACCGCAGAUCAGCCUGCCAGUUGAUCACGUCUCUCUGUGGUCCGAUUCUGUUCAUCAUGACACAGCAAACUUUUAACAGACUUUAAGCAGGUACCCACAUAGUAUCCUUCACAAAUUCUCUUCUCAAAAUGCGACAGACGCCAAGUGACAUCUUACAAUAGCAAGAUUCCCUCGUUCCCACCAACCCACAUACCUCACUAUCCAUAAGCACCACCCACAAACUCAGACACAGAUCUCAAUUGGCGCAUCAUAUCACAGGUCCCACAUUCAUAAAAACCAUUCAAUUUUAGCAUGGAAACAAUACAAAACCACCAAUUUAAACACCAAAAAUCUCACAAUUGAUCACAGCACAAGCAUAAAAACCACCUCAGCUCAAUCAAACGGGUGUCCAUAAGAUAAUAACGAAAAAUAUUCAUUUACCUACAUUCUCCAGUUCGUACUUGGCCUUGCUCACCGGCUUUAUUUUCCUUGGUUUCUCAGCAGAGAAAUCGAUCACCGGAG